rnacentral:rRNA from 1 species
GCAUAUCAAUAAGCGGAGGAAAAGAAACCAACAGGGAUUGCCCUAGUAACGGCGAGUGAAGCGGCAACAGCUCAAAUUUGAAAUCUGGCUCUCGGGCCCGAGUUGUAAUUUGUAGAGGAUGACUUUGAUGCGGUGCCUUCCGAGUUCCCUGGAACGGGACGCCAUAGAGGGUGAGAGCCCCGUCUGGUUGGAUGCCAAAUCUCUGUAAGUCUCCUUCGACGAGUCGAGUAGUUUGGGAAUGCUGCUCUAAAUGGGAGGUAUAUGUCUUCUAAAGCUAAAUACCGGCCAGAGACCGAUAGCGCACAAGUAGAGUGAUCGAAAGAUGAAAAGCACUUUGAAAAGAGAGUUAAAAAGUACGUGAAAUUGUUGAAAGGGAAGCGUUUAUGACCAGACUUGGGCUUGGUUAAUCAUCUGGGGUUCUCCCCAGUGCACUUUUCCAGUCCAGGCCAGCAUCAGUUUUCGCCGGGGGAUAAAGGCUUCGGGAAUGUGGCUCCCCUCGGGGAGUGUUAUAGCCCGUUGUGUAAUACCCUGGCGGGGACUGAGGUUCGCGCUUCUGCAAGGAUGCUGGCGUAAUGGUCAUCAACGACCCGUCUUGAAACACGGACCAAGGAGUCGUCUUCGUAUGCGAGUGUUCGGGUGUAAAACCCCUACGCGUAAUGAAAGUGAACGCAGGUGAGAGCUUCGGCGCAUCAUCGACCGAUCCUGAUGUUCUCGGAUGGAUUUGAGUAAGAGCAUACGGGGCCGGACCCGAAAGAAGGUGAACUAUGCCUGUGUAGGGUGAAGCCAGAGGAAACUGCUGGUGGAGGCUCGCAGCGGUUCUGACGUGCAAAUCGAUCGUCAAACAUGGGCAUGGGGGGCGAAAGACUAAUCGAACCUUCUAGUAGCUGGUUUCCGCCGAAGUU